AAAGAAGGCGAGGAGCCCUAAGCAACUGCCCUAAUUUCUUGAAAUUGGGCAUUUUUCUAUUGCCUACUUCCCUAUUCUAAUUGAUCUUCUUGCCCCUCAAUUGCCUACUGACGAGAAAGUGAAAUCGGUACAAUCCUUGCUUGAAUCGUGGAUGAACCAAUGCCAAAUGUCCCUAAUUCUUACCUUAAAUCGAUAGUUUGCUAAUUCUUCCCUUUUUUUUUUUCAUUUGAUUUUUCCCCUAAUCUUAUCCUUAAAUUAGUCUGCGAUUGAGUUUGAGAAAUGCUAAUUUGCAAGCCAAGGCUAACAUGAGCAAAGCUGCUCAGGUAGAGGUAAAUGAACUUGCUUUUGCUUGGUAUGUUUGAUGACCCAUGUGCUGGUUGAAUCAGUUUUAUAACUUGUCCCUCUUUGUUGUAUCUUUGUUUAUAGAAGUAUGACAAUUAAGUGAGGUUUGAACUAAGGAAUGACUUUACAAUGACUGUUUUGAUUGUAAAGAGAGCUUCUAUUGGAUGGUGGAAAAGAGUCCACAAUUUGCAGACGCAACUUGCAGUAUGUAUUUGCUUCAUUGCUUUCAAUGAGAUUAAUGUAGCAUGUUGUGUACAUAUUCAAUGUUCUCUAGCUAUCAUGUAAUGUUUAUCCCUUGGUUGAAGCUCAAGGUGUAAACAGGUAGAUGGGUUGGGAUUGGUUUAAGUAAUGUACCGAUAAUUUUUACAGUGAAUUGCAAAAAGUCUAAUAGGAAAACCUAUUUUGCAGUAUUUUUAACCUAGUUUUUUUGCUCUCAAAAAAGGGGGAAAAACUUUGUAAAGUUUUUCAACCAUAUGUCAUCAGAUAUUGCCCUACUCUUUAUGUUGUUUUAUGGUAUAUGUUGUAUGAUUUUAGUUUCUUUUAGAACAAAAGACUGGGAUGACAUCUGCUGAAGAAAGCAUCAUGGAGAGCCUUCGCCACACUCAUCAGCUAAUGUUUCAGGUUAGUUGCUUGUUCCCUCUUAUUGUUUAUUUGAUGCAUUUAUCAUUCAUGAUUUUGGGGAUGGAUUUUUAUUUGGUUUCUCAUGGUAUUUCUAUUUACAGGAGGUUGAAAGAAGUGCUAGCACUCUCAUGACUUUU
rnacentral:misc_RNA from 1 species